GAGAAAUCUUCCGGAAAUAAUUCUCUCUUCCUUGCUUGCUCCGGCGUCUUAUCUCUUCCCUCCCCAACCCCCGCGCAGCCUGGUGCGAUCUUCCUCUCCCAGCCAUCCAAUCCCCAAUUCCGCCUAAUCCAAUCUUAUCACCAAAUCAUUCGCCACUACUAGCAUGCUGCCAGCGCGCGGCGAUUACUGCGUCGCCGUCGCUGCACGCGGGAGCGAUCUUGCUGUUCCGGACAUAUAAAUAUCCUGACUUCCUGGUCGCUGUCUCCCGGGGAUUUGCUUCCGUUCCAGCCUGAUUGCGGGGCGAGAGAUUGGAGAAGCUGUUGGUUGCGUGGAAGGAUUUGGAGGAGUUUAGGAGGGUCUCCGAGGCGGGUUACGUACGGUGCCGGGAGUCCGUGGAGGAAGGAAGGUGAUUGCGUUCGGUGGCCGUGAUGGCGCCAACGACGCACUUCACGCCGUCGCAGGCGCACGCGGCGGCCACCUCCCACCACCCUGCCGCGGCGGCGGCGGCGGCCACGGCCACUGCCCGGCUGCAUGCGUCGGCGUCCGCGUCGGCGCCUGCCGCGGCGGCCGCGCUUUGCCCGCCCUUCCUCGCGGCGGGGUCCCACUCCGUGACGUGCCCGCCCGUCCAGAACCCGAUAUUUAGUGGCCCGGCCGCGCCGUGGGCGGUGCAGCCCCAGCGCGCCGCUGCUGGGGCCCUUGGCCCGGAGUUCAGGCGUGCGCGCUCCACCAAGAACAUCUCCAAGCGCAACAACCGUGGUGCAGGAGGCCAGGAACGCGGGGCGCGCGCGUCCUCAGCUGCUGCUGGGCGCUGUGUCGACAAGCUGCUCCGCGUUGCCCCUGAAGACCGGCGCGCGCUCGGCGCAUCGCUUUCCUCUUUCCGGGGAGAGCUGGUUGGUCCUGAUGAUUACUGCCAUGUCCUUCGGGAGCUCGGCGACAGGGACAAGUCUGCGCUCCGUGCGCUUGAGGUGUUCCACGCUGCACUGCCCCUUGUUGGCAAUGGCUCCGUCGAUAAGGGCAAGCUUUUGACCGCCGCAAUUGGUGCACUCGGCAAGAUGGGGCGACCAGACCUCGCAAGAAGAGGUUUUGAUUCUGGCAUUGCAGGGGGUUAUGGCAAAACGGUGUUUGCAUACUCAGCGCUCAUAUCAGCAUAUGCCAGGAGUGGUCUUGCGACCGAGGCCAUGGGGGUGCUUGAGUCGAUGAAGGGUGCAGGCUUGCGGCCUACCACAGUUACGUACAAUGCGGUGAUUGAUGCAUGUGGGAAAGGGGGUGUUGACCUCAGGUUCACGCUCGGAUAUUUUCGUCAGAUGCUACGGGAUGGGCUUUGUCCUGACCGGAAGACUUUCAAUUCACUUCUUUCUGCGUGUAGCCGCGCAGGGCACUUGGAGGAUGCCCGUGCUGUCUUUGAUGAAAUGAUCCAUCUUGGCAUUGGGCGUGACAUUUACACAUACAACACAUUUAUCGACGCAAUUUGCAAGUGUGGCAACAUAGAGCUUGCUAUGCAGGUUCUGCUGGAUAUGGAAGCGAAAAAGCUGAAGCCAAAUGUUGUUACAUACAGUACCCUGAUUGAUGGAUACUCCAAGCUGGAGAAGUAUGAGGAGGCACUCAAGUUGUACGAAAAGAUGAAGUCUUUGGGAAUUCGAUUGGACCGAGUUUGCUACAACACAGUGCUGGCUAUUUAUGUGAAGACCGGAAAGUAUGCCGAGAUUGCCAUUGUGUGUGACGAGAUGGAGGACUCUGGGAUUGAGAAGGAUACUGUCACUUACAAUUCUUUGAUUAAUGGAUAUGGAAAGCAGGGACGCUUGGACAUCGUCUCUUUCCUCGUCCAAGAUAUGAGGAGACGCGGGGUAGCUCCUAGUGUACUCACAUACUCAACUUUGAUAGAUAUCUAUUCAAAGGCAGGAAUGCAUGGUGAUGCAUUUAAUGUCUAUUUAGAUUUUAAGGAAUCUGGCCUAAAGGCCGAUGUUGUUCUGUUCAGCUCUUUCAUUGACACAUUGGCCAAGAAUGGAUUGGUAGAGUGGGCAUUAUCUUUGCUGAAUGAUAUGACUGAGAUGGGUAUCAAGCCAAAUGUGGUUACGUAUAACACAAUAAUUGAUGCAUUUGGCAAGUCUAAGGUACACGCUGAGGAGGAUCCUGAAGUUGGAGAGAUGGGCAUUGUUGGGGUUUAUAAUGGCCAGAUCAUAAGGGCUGCUAAUCCAGUGACAAGAGGACGCUCUGCCAUUGAUGUCCGGAUGAGGAGGUCUCAGGAAUUGUAUUUCAUUCUGGAAUUGUUUCAGAAGAUGGUCCAACAGGGUGUACGGCCAAAUGUUGUUACAUUUUCUGCGAUCCUGAAUGCGUGCAGUCGCUGUAAUAACUUUGAAGAUGCAGCCCUAUUACUGGAACAACUUCGCUUGUUUGAUAACUUUGUCUACGGCGUUGCGUAUGGGCUCCUUAUGGGUUACCAAGAAAUUUGGUCGCAAGCACAGUCCCUUUUUAAUCAGCUGGGACGCAUGGAUUCUCCAACAUCCUCUGCCUUUUACAAUGCUCUUACUGAUAUGCUAUGGCAUUUUGGCCAGAGGCAAGGAGCUCAGUUAAUUGUGCUCGAAGGGGUGAAUCGCCGUGUGUGGGAGAACACAUGGAGUGAGUUUUGCUUGGACCUGCACCUUAUGUCAUGUGGUGCAGCUCAAGCAAUGGUUCAUGCAUGGCUCCUGAAUGUGCGCUCUAUUGUCUUCGAAGGACGAGCUAUGCCUGAAUUUGUAAGCAUUCUGACAGGGUGGGGAAAGCAUAGCAAGAUUGCGGGCGCAAGCACUCUCCGUCACGUCAUCGAAGCACUGCUCAACUCAAUCGGAGCACCCUUUCAGGUUGAGCGAUUCAACAUUGGAAGGUUUGUGUCGCCCAGCGUCGUGGUGGCUGCCUGGUUGAAAGAAUCCGGCACCAUCAACACGAUACUCCUCAGCGACGAGCGUGCGCAGCGUGCAAGCCCAUCCAAUCUGGUGCCGAGGUUGGAGGCGCUGCAGUUGUAGCCCCUAGAGCACGGCAUACCCCUGUAGCAGCGUUGUCUGUAAGCUCCCCCGCCUCUCUUUAGUUUGUCUUCUGCCUUUCAGAAGACUGUGUAGUGUAUUAUAGGCUCGCCGAAUAGGAGCUUGUUUUGUUGUUGAAUCCUGUUGUUAAUUGGCAGUGUACCUUUCAAGUUCCAACUCCUUUCAUCAAGGUUGGGAAAAAGAAGUUUAAUGAGAAUCCACCCGAUUGGCCCCCCUGCCCUCGAUGGAUUGUCGCUUCGUCGACAGCACGGACCGGGUAUCACUGCUCCCAGAGGGUCAUCUGCAGCGGGUUAAGAUGCUUUGAGUUCUUGUUUUGGUGCUUGUCCUGUGAAGGCAGAUACCUGGAGCUCUGGUUUCGGCAAGUGCCAUGGAUGGAUGACGCUGACACCUCCACCGGCUGGUUUCCCCCUUUGGCUCGUGAUGCUGCUUUACAAGAUGCCAUGAGCUUUGCUGAAGAUGCAAAUGGCAUCUCCCCAUCCAUGAAUGAUGAGCAGGCAGCCUGUGGCUGUGUGGGCAGCUCAAGUGGUUGGCUGACGAGGCGCCAUGGAAAGGGCAAGCAAAAAGGCGUGGAGGAGAUGAGCGCAAUGUGUAGGCUGUUGAUUCAUUCAUUCAGUUGCCAUGGCUCCUUUCUGAACAAUUGGACCUGGAGUUGGGGCAUUGUCAACCAUUCGAAAUGGUCAAAAAAUUGGCAGAAACUGUAUAUUUGCCAACGCGCGACUCAUUUUUUUACUUUGAUUUUCAUUUUACAUUUAAUUGUUGGUUCGCUUCUCGCUCUCAUCGGAAUUUGACUUCUUCCUUGCAUACCCCCUUGCAUAUCUGCCUUUUUUUUCUCCUAAUUUAGAUACUCCCUCCGUCCGAAAUUACUUGUCAUUAAAAUGGAUGUAUCUAGAACUAAAAAACACCUAGAUACACCCAGUUCAAUGACAAGUAUUUCCGGACGGAGGGAGUACUUUUGAGUCGUUGAAGCAACAUCUUACACGAGGGCGGAGUCAAAGGAAGAGAGGUGAGAGCGACAUUCAUACUAAGGAAAAAGGAAGAACCGAUGGUUUUGGUUUUGGUCACGGGAUCGGUAAAUGAUCGGUUAGCGUUGUUCGAUUGAUUUUUUCUUUGCGGGAAGAAAUCAAUGAUCCGUCGUUUUCUCUCUUUUUUUCUCGGAAAAGAAAUGGCCGAGAAGUUUGAAGAUCA
rnacentral:rRNA from 1 species